GACGAACGCUGGCGGCGUGCCUAAUACAUGCAAGUUGAGCGCUGAAGGUUGGUACUUGUACCAACUGGAUGAGCAGCGAACGGGUGAGUAACGCGUGGGGAAUCUGCCUUUGAGCGGGGGACAACAUUUGGAAACGAAUGCUAAUACCGCAUAAAAACUUUAAACACAAGUUUUAAGUUUGAAAGAUGCAAUUGCAUCACUCAAAGAUGAUCCCGGGUUGUAUUAGCUAGUUGGUGAGGUAAAGGCUCACCAAGGCGAUGAUACAUAGCCGAACUGAGAGGGGGAUCGGCCACAUUGGGAAUGGGACACGGCCCAAAAUCCUACGGGAGGCAGCAGUAGGGAAUCGUCGGCAAUGGACGAAAGUCUGACCGAGCAACGCCGCGGGAGUGAAGGAGGGUUUCGGAUCGUAAAACUCUGUUGGUAGAGAAGAACGUUGGUUAGAGUGGAAAGCUCAUCAAGUGACGGUAACUACCCAGAAAGGGACGGCUAACUACGUG
rnacentral:rRNA from 1 species